ACUCCUACGGGAGGCAGCAGUGGGGAAUAUUGGGCAAUGGAGGAAACUCUGACCCAGCGACGCCGCGUGCGGGAUGAAGGCCUUCGGGUUGUAAACCGCUUUCAGCAGGGAAGAAGCGAAAGUGACGGUACCUGCAGAAGAAGCACCGGCUAACUAUGUGCCAGCAGCCGCGGUAAU
rnacentral:rRNA from 1 species